GACUAAAGCGUAGGGAGCGGAUCGGGAUUAGAGAACCCGUAGUCUACGCCUUGACUAAUGAAAGUGAAACGUCAAACAAAAGUUUGAUCUAAAGCUAACGCGUUGAACUUUCCGCCUGAGGAGUACGAUCGCAAGAUUGAAACUCAAAGGAAUUGACGGGGGUCUUUUAAAAACGGUGGAACAUGUGGUUUAAUCUGAUAAUCCGCGUAAAACCUUACCAGUUACAACUAGGUGUUGCAUGGCUGUCGUCAGCCCGUGUCGUGAGGCGUGACAUGAGAAUGCGUAACGGGCGUAACCCUUACUUGUAAUUGC
rnacentral:rRNA from 1 species